rnacentral:rRNA from 1 species
AGAAGCUUGCUUCUCUUGAGAGCGGCGGACGGGUGAGUAAUACCUGGGAAUCUGCCUGAUAGUGGGGGAUAACGUUCGGAAACGGACGCUAAUACCGCAUACGUCCUACGGGAGAAAGCAGGGGAUCUUCGGACCUUGCGCUAUCAGAUGAGCCCAGGUCGGAUUAGCUUGUUGGUGAGGUAACGGCUCACCAAGGCGACGAUCCGUAACUGGUCUGAGAGGAUGAUCAGUCACACUGGAACUGAGACACGGUCCAGACUCCUACGGGAGGCAGCAGUGGGGAAUAUUGGACAAUGGGCGAAAGCCUGAUCCAGCCAUGCCGCGUGUGUGAAGAAGGUCUUCGGAUUGUAAAGCACUUUAAGUUGGGAGGAAGGGUUGUAGUUUAAUACGCUGCAAUCUUGACGUUACCGACAGAAUAAGCACCGGCUAACUCUGUGCCAGCAGCCGCGGUAAUACAGAGGGUGCAAGCGUUAAUCGGAAUUACUGGGCGUAAAGCGCGCGUAGGUGGCUAAGUAAGAUGGGUGUGAAAUCCCCGGGCUCAACCUGGGAACUGCAUCCAUAACUGCUUAGCUAGAGUACGGUAGAGGGUAGUGGAAUUUCCUGUGUAGCGGUGAAAUGCGUAGAUAUAGGAAGGAACACCAGUGGCGAAGGCGACUACCUGGACUGAUACUGACACUGAGGUGCGAAAGCGU